rnacentral:lncRNA from 1 species
AAAAAAAAAAUUAAAUAAGAAUUGCAACAACAAUCGAUAAGACAUUUAAGAAUUUCCGAUCAGAAUUACAAAUACAACAUCAUUAUUAAAUACAUAAAUAUUUGAUAAACAAAUACCGAGACACAUGUUAUAGUAAUGCUAGCUAAACCGCCCACUUGUUGGAAGGUCGAAUGCACGUCCACUAUACUGACAGAAAUGUUCGAACAAAACAAACAGACGUACUAGAUAAAAAUGUCAAAAACAGGAAUACAGUAGUCAACAUCGUUUUAUAAUCGUAAACCUAAAAAAAAGAAAACAAAGAAAACAAGAAUGACAACAGCACCACAACGCAUUGGCAGGAUGCUGUAGUACCGAGCCAAGCCUAAAGAAUAUUAUCAAAAAUGGACUAAACAGUAAAAGUUAGUAAUAUACUUAACAAAUGAAAGAACAC